GCGUGAGUGAAGAAGGCCUUAGGGUUGUAAAGCUCUUUCGCCGGGGAAGAUAAUGACGGUACCCGGAGAAGAAGCCCCGGCUAACUCCGUGCCAGCAGCCGCGGUAAUACGGAGGGGGCUAGCGUUGUUCGGAAUUACUGGGCGUAAAGCGCGCGUAGGCGGCCUGCCAAGUUGGGGGUGAAAGCCCGGAGCUCAACUCCGGAAUUGCCUUCAAAACUGGCUGGCUUGAGUCCGGGAGAGGUGAGUGGAAUUCCCAGUGUAGAGGUGAAAUUCGU
rnacentral:rRNA from 1 species